rnacentral:SRP_RNA from 1 species
UGUUGGUCCCCUCGCAACGUAAAAUUGUGAACCCCGCCAGGCCCGGAAGGGAGCAACGGCAGCAAUGGAGUCGUGUGCCGAGGUGCGGCUGGCACGA